AUGAAAGAGAAAACGUAAAAAAAAAAAAAAAUAAAAUGGAAAAAGAAACAAAUAUUACAAUGAUAACAAUAUUUUUUGUCAUCAUAAUCAUCAUUAUUAUCGUAAAAAAUGUAGUUUUACGUGCUAAAUUUAAGAUACUUCAAAGAGAAAUAUCGCCAAGUCGUAAUGCCACAGUCUCAUCAGCAUUACGAAAGAACGGAUGAUUUUAGGUUGGCAAACGCAUGUGUCUCGCGAGACAUCGAGAUCUAUUUAAAAUUUGAAAGCUAAACGAUUAGCCAGUUUCAAGGGUAAUGUCGACCUCAAAUCACUUUGACGAUCGUACGUAUCGCGAAUCGCACGCAUCACGCGAAUCACACGCAUCCAAGGUGCCAGGAUAAAGAACAUUUACGUGCAAAAGAAUGAUUUAAUAAAUUGGAAAUAUCUUUUCGUAUUUUUUUCGAGGAAAGCAAAGGCAAUGUUUUGGAAUUUGAAUAAGAUAUAGAAACUAAUAGUAAAAUGAAAGAAUAAUAUUGUCAAGAAUUUUUCCAGCGGUCGAUAAAAUUUCUUUCUAUCCGAAUACCGCAAUCUCGUGAUUUCGUUCGAUAAGCAACAAUGACCAUUUUACUUGUUCGACCAUAUACCACACAUGUUGUCCUUGCUAAAUCAAUAGUAUUGAUGGUAUAGUUGUUUUAUUAAUCAUCGGAGUAGUUAAAGACUUCACUUAUCUACUUUAUUUUCAUACUUCGUUCCUUGAAUCUCAUUGAUUAUUAAUAAAUAUAUACAUACAAUUAAUAUAUAAAUAUAAAUAUACAAUCGUGACCGAAAGUUCUUAAAUAAUUUAAAAAAUCAAUUGCUCCUUUAUUCGAGAAUUUUUAAGCUAAAAAAAAAAAGACAAUUUUACUAGGCUUGUAAUUUUACAAUCAGAAGAAAGAAUUAUCUUGAAAAGCCUCGAAAAAGUUGAUUAAUUUUUAAAAUUAAUAAUUAAAAAAUUUUCGACCGAUUCUUUAUUGAAUAUUCGAUAUUAUAUUAACGUAUUAAUUGUAUUAUUUGAUUAAUGAUCUUUGUAAACUUGCACCUUAUUUUCGAUAAUAUAUAUGUAUAAAGAUGCAAAUUCAAAAGCAACUAUUAAAAAUAGAAGUAAACGUGACGUUGAGAAAAUGAUAUAUAUUUAUUAAUGCCUUUCAAUUUCAUAAACUAACGUAAAUGUUUAUAUCGGCAACACAAAUCGUCUUGGCUAUCGAAAUAUCAAUCUAUUUUUACUGAAUUUACAUUAAAAUUCAUAACAUUUUUCCAUCUGGUUAAGUAUUUUUUAUGUAUACUACUAGAUAAUAUGAAUAUAUUAUGCUAAUACAAGUAGGAAAUUAAUGCAAGUAGUCGAAUGUAUUUAUAAAAAUAAAAAAAAAAAAAAAGAAAAAAAAA